rfam:Kiloniella sp. P1-1 contig3, whole genome shotgun sequence.
AUAAACUCACGCCAUGCAUGGUUCCCCAUGGAUGAAGUCGUCCGGGGAUUAAAAGGGAACGCGGAGAGAUCUACCCAUCAGGGGAUCUUGAGCCGUGGCUGCCCCCGCAACUGUGAACGGUGAGUUCUUACCAAUUAUGACCACUGGCAUGACCAACGGGUUGGAUGCCGGGAAGGUUUGGUGAUUGAGCAACGAUCCGUGAGCCAGGAGACCUGCCGGCAUAAUGUCACUGGA